UAUUGCAGUUGCCACCAGCUUCCCAGUAUUUCUAUGAGUAGAACUAAAUAAUCAAGACUCCAAUCCCACAAUUUUUUUUUUUAAUAAAAGCAUUGAGAAAAAUCAGAUACACGCACAAUAAGAAGAGGCAUAUCAGUGUUCAAUUUGUUUUCCUUUCAACUCAUUUCACUUUUGUCCUCUACAUCACAAAUACAAAAAAGGUACAGCAAAUUACACAAUACUUCCAUCUUUACAUCUACACAUCUCUUCACAAAUCUAACCAAUUAAACAAACCAGAUUGAAGAUCUUACCAUAUCCAUACCUUUAGAAACCAUUAGAACAUUCAAUUGUGAGUAAGUGCAAAAGUGCUGAAGCCAUGCUCGCAAUAAUUAUUCUUUCUGAUCAUAUGACUUAGAUGUAAUUGUGUUUGAUUUAGCUAUAAGACCCAUAUCAAUGUUUUCUUUUUCUUUUAUGCUAAACUCUAAAGGUCUUGGCGUGGGAGAAGACAUUGAUUGUCUAAGUUGGCAUCCACUGUAGACGAAUUUCUUUUCAAUUCUCACUCUGAGCAAUUUACCAAAAAAAAUAAAAUAAUAAUAAUAAUAAAAAUAAAAAUUUGUCUUCUCUUUCUGUUUCCAUUUUCAAUUCUUUUUAAGAUAUAAAAUUUGCAGCUUGACAUGCAUCCAGUUUAGUUGGCCCUACUUCAUGGGAUACUAAACGUUCACUUGAUGAUGAACAACAAGAGCCUAAUCUUCUGUAAUUCCACAUCAGUUUCCAUAGUUGAAGUUACAUUCGCAAUUUACAUAUUAGUGUCCUAAUUUGAAAUCCAGAAUUUACAAAAUCUUAAUUUUAGGAAUCAAGCUGCCCUGUAUUUAUAAAGAGGAAGAUUGGAAUUACCUCAAUUUAUCCCAACUAAUGGAUGGACAACUUAUG
rnacentral:lncRNA from 1 species